CCCUCAAAUUAUAAUUACCCGAAAGCUAACAAGGGUCCAUAAUUAGAAUUAGCCAACUCACGACUUUAGGGUCAUUGUUCACAUAAUUAAGCAUUUCGCUUUAACGACUUGUUUUAUGGACUUCCAUUGAUGAUUUUCGUCAAAAGGGUCAGACCUCAAAUUAUCAUCAUUCGAAAACCAACAACGGUCCAUAAUAAGAAUUUGCAAUCUCACGACUUUUGGUAUCAUUGUUCACAUGAUUAACCAUCAUAAUUUAGUGGCUCGCAAUGAUGAUUUCCGUCAGAAGGGUCUUAUCUCAAAUUCUAAUUAAAUAGGUAACAAGGGUCAAUAAUCAGAAUUAGCAAUCAAAUGGCUUUAAGGUCAUCAUUGUUCACAAGAUUAACUAUCUCGGUAUAGGGACUUGUUUAGGGGCUCGCAUUGAUGAUUUCCAUCAAAAGGGUCAGCUCUCAAAUUAUCAUUAUCCGAAAAGCAACAAGGGUCCACAAUGAAAAU
rnacentral:lncRNA from 1 species